GUUCUCACUUUAGCAGGACAUAUACUAAAAUUGGAACAAUACAGAGAAGAUUAACAUGGCCCUGCGCAAGGAUGACAUGCAAAUUUGUGAAAUGUUCCAUAUUUUU